AAAUAUUGCGAAAUUAUAAUAUCAUGAAGCUUUUUAAGUGAACUUUCAAAUCUAAUGGUCUUUACCUUUUUAUUAAAAAUAUUUCAAUUGUUAUACAUCUGAUUCAUGAAAACAUAGGAAGGCAUUUGAGAGACUUUCAUGGAUGGUCCUUUGCGUACCUCUCGACAUACAACACUUGGUGUAUUCUCUAUCUAAGCACUCGGAUAGUCCUCUAUCGUCCAACUAAUAACUGGGUGACCAUCCAACCAGCCGAGCACCUCAUCCUCUAUGCCACCGUUUUGAGUGGGUGCACAUCCACCUUUAAAGAAGAGAUCAUCAAGAGAUUACUGAACGUAACGACCUCGUACUACCUUAGCCAAUUUAACCAAGAGAAUGUAAGAACAGUACAUGAAUGAAGACAACCCACGUAUAAUGACCUUACUACCUGACUGACUGCACGAUCAUCAUGUCUCAAAUUUGCCGAUGACGCGGCCUCAUUGAGCAGAAAAUCUCCUUCUUUAUAAAUAUCCUGUAAAACGAUUAAAAAAUGCUCUCGGCACUCAAC
rnacentral:lncRNA from 1 species